rnacentral:lncRNA from 1 species
AGAUUGUUUAUUAAGUUAAAUUAAGUAUGUUUUAACUGGAAUAGAGUGAAAAGCUUGAAAAUUUGGCCAAGAUACAUUUUCUGUUAUGACAAAAUCGUUUGAGUCUAAAUACUCUAAUGUUUUUAAGUUUAAUCAAAUAAUAUUUAAACAGGAUAAUAAUUUUAAAACAACUUAAGAUGAAAACAAAAAGACUUAGAACUUGAAUCCCUAACAUAAAAAACCUACACAAGACUUAGAACCUGAAUCCCC